rnacentral:rRNA from 1 species
AGAGUUUGAUCAUGGCUCAGGACGAACGCUGGCGGCGUGGAUUAGGCAUGCAAGUCGAACGCGAAAGUAUUUCUUCGGAGAUACGAGUAGAGUGGCGGACGGGUGAGUAACGCGUAGGUGAUUUACCUUAAAGAGGGGGAUAGCCCCGGGAAACCGGGAUUAAUACCGCAUGUGAUAAUCGAGUCGAAUUGAUUAUUAAAGAUGGCCUCUGUUUCAAGCUGUCGCUUUAAGAUAAGCCUGCGUCCUAUUAGCUAGUUGGUAGGGUAAGAGCCUACCAAGGCGAUGAUAGGUAGGCGGCCUUAACGGGUGGUCGCCCACACUGGGAUUGAGAUACGGCCCAGACUCCUACGGGAGGCAGCAGUCGAGAAUAGUCUACAAUGGGGGAAACCCUGAUAGUGCGACGCCGCGUGAACGAAGAAGCCUUUCGGGGUGUAAAGUUCUUUUCUGUGAGAGCAAUGCUUUGUAGCUUAAUAGGCUAUAGAGAGAGAUAUUAUCACAGGAAUAAGCCACGGCUAACUCCGUGCCAGCAGCCGCGGUAAUACGGGGGUGGCGAGCGUUGUCCGGAAUUACUAGGCGUAAAGGGCAAGUAGGCGGAUCUAUAAGUCAUUUGUUAAAGGCAUGGGCUCAACCGAUGUAUGGCAAGUGAUACUGUAGGUCUAGAGUAAAGUGGGUGAAGACGGAAUUCCUGGUGUAGCGGUGGAAUGCGCAGAUAUCAGGAGGAACACCGGAGGCGAAGGCGGUCUUCAACGCUUAUACUGACGCUCAAUUGCGAAAGGUGUGGGUAUCAAACAGGAUUAGA